rnacentral:rRNA from 1 species
UACCAGACUCCUACGGGAGGCAGCAGUGGGGAAUAUUGCACAAUGGGGGAAACCCUGAUGCAGCAACGCCGCGUGGGUGAAGGAGCGUUUCGGCGCGUAAAGCCCUGUCAGCGGGGAAGAAGAAAGACGGUACCCGACCAAGAAGCCCCGGCUAACUACGUGCCAGCAGCCGCGGUAAUACGUAGGGGGCGAGCGUUAUCCGGAAUUACUGGGUGUAAAGCGCUCGUAGGCGGUAUGUCAAGUCAAGGGUGAAAUCCCCGCGCUCAACGUGGGAACUGCCUUUGAAACUGGCAAACUGGAGUGUGUGAGAGGAUAGUGGAAUUCCAGGUGUAGGAGUGAAAUCCGUAGAUAUCUGGAGGAACAUCAGUGGCGAAGGCGACUAUCUGGCACAUAACUGACGCUGAGGAGCGAAAGCGUGGGUAGCAAACAGGAUUAGAUACCCCGGUA